UACGGGGGGGGCAAGCGUUGUUCGGAAUUACUGGGCGUAAAGGGCUCGUAGGCGGCCAACUAAGUCAUACGUGAAAUCCCUCGGCUCAACCGGGGAACUGCGUCUGAUACUGGAUGGCUUGAGUUCGGGAGAGGGAUGCGGAAUUCCAGGUGUAGCGGUGAAAUGCGUAGAUAUCUGGAGGAACACCGGUGGCGAAGGCGGCAUCCUGGACCGAUACUGACGCUGAGGAGCGAAAGCCAGGGGAGCAAAC
rnacentral:rRNA from 1 species